GCUUGAGUAUUUCCUCAGCAGAGGGGCUGUUGGUUGCUGUGCUCUCUUCACUCUUAAAACAGGGCUGGAGGCAUCCUGAAGUCCAAUCAACACCCUGACCUGAGAUGGGACCAACUGAGUGUUGCCCGCUUGCCACAUCCUGAGAGUGGAUCACCCUGUUGAGCACCAACCUUUAAUGCCUUAAGUUUCAGCUUUCAUGUUUUCCAGACUCUGUGCUGCCCAGGUGCAGCUCUGAGCUCACACUCAGGGUCACUCAGCUCUCUGCACACAGCAGCGACACAAAACAAAUCCUGUUCCUGCUGCACACCAAGGACAACUUUCAGCCCCAAAGCACAAACAAGGGUGGCUGGAGGGAGGAACAAGAAGGAUGGGACCUCACAGCCUGGAGCUGGAAUUGGACAAUUCAACCCCAAUGUGCAAAUGGACCAAAACUGAUCAAAGUGUGAGACCUCAUGACCGGUCCAAUAAAACAGUGAAGGCCAUCAAAAUGACCUUUCUACAGCACCUACUGCUAUGAUCUGAGAAGCAGAAUUCCCUCCCCAGUCGAAAUAGGAAUGGUACUUAUAGGCCAGGCACCUGAGAAUUCCAUCAAGGGGCACCCAUGUCCCCUGUAAUCCCUCCUCCUGCUGCUUCAGCAAGAGGACUUCAGCUCUGUCCCCACCCCUUUGUGGGGCCUCCUGGUCGGUGUGACAGCAGCCAAGGGAGCGAUAAAACUUCAUCUCUCGCGCACAGCUUUAAGGGAAGGAUGUCGGGAAUACAGAACUCCUUGCCUACAGCACAGGGAGACACACAGGUUGUGUUUCUCCUGCCCUCUGAGUCUGAGAGCCCCUGGCAGUUCCCCAAGCUCCCAGUCUAACCCAGAGCUGCUCCAGAGUAGUUUGGCUGCCUGUGAGAUGCUGUAGCCUGCAGAACAGCAUCGGGAAGCGGCUGCCGUGCGUUCGGCUUUAUGGGAUAACCGCUGAGGGCUGGAUUUAUGGGAUCUGCACUCCACACAACCAUGGCACGGGCCAAAAUGUGCCUGAGAAUUUAUGCCUGGAUUCACCCAGUGCUGCAGCAAUCUUCUCCCUGCUUCCCCAGCUCCGGAGCCCAGCGGUGCUCGUAAGAGGGGCGCACAGGAAAAUUUUUCUGCUGGUCCUAUCACUGUGAAAACAGCAGAUGCUCUCUAUCAGAGUGUUCAAUGGACAGUACAUCAGAGAGAGAAGGAAAUCUGAGCCACAAUGGAAGUGGUUUUAUUGGUUUUAUUGCACUGUACCAGCCAGGAAUUUUCCCACGUGGUUUGUAGGACUUUUCUGCAUGAAGGUGACCAAGUGGGUGUUUGUACCUCUCUUCUUCCCAUAAUAAUUUUCCCCUACAGCUGCCUCAGGGAAGUCACCCUCUACACAAGUCGUAUGUUUGUGUAUCUUAAUUUACAUCCCCACACCAUUCAUGCUGUAAAAUCCAGUGCUGUUAACAAGGUUUCACUGAGUGACUUCUCCACUUGAAAGUUUUUCAAGCCUCUUUCCUCCUGAAUUGUGUAAGUAAAAGGCUUCCAAGGGAGAGAGAUUUCUUUAGUGUUUUAAAAAAUAAUGGUUUUGAUCAGGCAGCUGUUAAAGAUGUUUUCCAGAGGCUCCAUUUUUUGUGCUGCCUUUUGGUGGAGACAAACCCCUAC